rnacentral:tRNA from 1 species
GGGGAUUUAGCUCAGUGGUAGAGCGCUUGCCUUAGCAAACCAAGGCCCUGGGUUCGGUCCCCAGCUCCA